rnacentral:rRNA from 1 species
AUGAACGCUGGUGGCGUGCCUAAUACAUGCAAGUCGAGCGAACAGACGAGGAGCUUGCUCCUCUGACGUUAGCGGCGGACGGGUGAGUAACACGUGGAUAACCUACCUAUAAGACUGGGAUAACUUCGGGAAACCGGAGCUAAUACCGGAUAAUAUAUUGAACCGCAUGGUUCAAUAGUGAAGGACGGUUUUGCUGUCACUUAUAGAUGGAUCCGCGCCGCAUUAGCUAGUUGGUAAGGUAACGGCUUACCAAGGCAACGAUGCGUAGCCGACCUGAGAGGGUGAUCGGCCACACUGGAACUGAGACACGGUCCAGACUCCUACGGGAGGCAGCAGUAGGGAAUCUUCCGCAAUGGGCGAAAGCCUGACGGAGCAACGCCGCGUGAGUGAUGAAGGUCUUCGGAUCGUAAAACUCUGUUAUUAGGGAAGAACAAAUGUGUAAGUAACUAUGCACGUCUUGACGGUACCUAAUCAGAAAGCCACGGCUAACUACGUG